rnacentral:rRNA from 1 species
CAUGCAAGUCGAGCGAAGUGAGUCUAGAUGAAGUUUUCGGAUGGAAUUUAAACUUAUCUUAGCGGCGGACGGGUGAGUAACGCGUGAGAAACCUGCCUUUCACAAGGGGAUAGCCUCGGGAAACUGGGAUUAAUACCUUAUGACACUUAAGAUUCGCAUGAAUCUUAAGUUAAAGCGUAAAGCGGUGAAAGAUGGUCUCGCGUCCCAUUAUCUAGUUGGUGAGGUAACGGCUCACCAGGGCUACGAUGGGUACCCGGCCUGAGAGGGUGAACGGCCACUCUGGAACUGACACACGGUCCACACUCCUACGGGAGGCAGCAGUGGGGAAUAUUGCACAAUGGAAGAAACUCUGAUGCAGCGACCCCGCGUGAACGAUGAAGGUCUUCAGAUCGUAAAGUUCUGUCCUAGGGGACGAUAAUGACGGUACCCUAAGAGGAAGCCCCGGCUAACUACGUGCCAGCAGCCGCGGUAAUACGUAGGGGGCGAGCGUUGUCCGGAAUUAUUGGGCGUAAAGGGUUCGCAGGCGGUCCAUUAAGUCAGGUGUGAAAGGUCACGGCUCAACCGUGGUAAGCACUUGAAACUGGAAGACUUGAGUUAAAGAGAGGAAAGUGGAAUUCCUAGUGUAGCGGUGAAAUGCGUAUAUAUUAAGAGGAAUACCAGUGGCGAACGCGACUUUCUGGACUUAUACUGACGCUGAAGAACGAAAGCGUGGAGAGCAAACAAGAUUAUAUACCCUGAUACUCCACGCCGUAAACGAUGAGUGCUAUGUGUUGGGGGUCAAACCUCGGUGCCGCAUCUAACGCAUUAAGCACUCCGCCUGGAGAGUACGUACGCAAGUAUGACACUCAAAGGAAUUGACGGACACCCGCACAAGCAGCAGAGCAUGUGUUUUAAUUCAAAGCACGCGAAGACCUUACCAGGUCUUGACAUGCCUCUGACCGGUGUAGA